GAUGAACGCUGGCGGCGUGCCUAAUACAUGCAAGUCGAGCGAACGGACGAGAAGCUUGCUUCUCUGAUGUUAGCGGCGGACGGGUGAGUAACACGUGGAUAACCUACCUUUAAGACUGGGAUAACUUCGGGAAACCGGAGCUAAUACCGGAUAAUAUUUUGAACCGCAUGGUUCAAAAGUGAAAGACGGUCUUGCUGUCACUUAUAGAUGGAUCCGCGCUGCAUUAGCUAGUUGGUAAGGUAACGGCUUACCAAGGCAACGAUGCAUAGCCGACCUGAGAGGGUGAUCGGCCACACUGGAACUGAGACACGGUCCAGACUCCUACGGGAGGCAGCAGUAGGGAAUCUUCCGCAAUGGGCGAAAGCCUGACGGAGCAACGCCGCGUGAGUGAUGAAGGUCUUCGGAUCGUAAAACUCUGUUAUUAGGGAAGAACAUAUGUGUAAGUAACUGUGCACAUCUUGGCGGUACCUAAUCAGAAAGCCACGGCUAACUACGUG
rnacentral:rRNA from 1 species